GACGAACGCUGGCGGCGUGCUUAACACAUGCAAGUCGAACGGAAAGGCCCUGCUUUUGUGGGGUGCUCGAGUGGCGAACGGGUGCGUAACACGUGUGUAACCUGCCCUUGACUUUGGGAUAACUUCAGGAAACUGGGGUUAAUACAGGAUAGGAGCUCACGUUGCAUGGUGGGGGUUGGAAAGUUUCGGCGGUUGGGGAUGGACUCGCGGCUUAUCGGCUUGUUGGUUGGGUAGUGGCUUACCAAGGAUUUGACGGGUAGCCGGCCUGAGAGGGUGACCGGCCACAUUGGGACUGAGAUACGGCCCAGACUCCUACGGGAGGCAGCAGUGGGGAAUAUUGCACAAUGGGCGGAAGCCUGAUGCAGCAACGCCGCGUGCGUGAUGACGGCCUUCUGGUUGUAAACCGCUUUCGCCUGUGACGAAGCGUGAGUGACGGUAAUGGGUAAAGAAGCACCGGCUAACUACGUG
rnacentral:rRNA from 1 species